rnacentral:rRNA from 1 species
UACGUAGGUGGCAAGCGUUGUCCGGAUUUACUGGGCGUAAAGAGCGCGCAGGCGGUCGUUCAAGUCGCGUGUGAAAGCCCCCGGCUCAACUGGGGAGGGUCACGCGAUACUGAUCGACUCGAAGGCAGGAGAGGGUAGUGGAAUUCCCGGUGUAGUGGUGAAAUGCGUAGAUAUCGGGAGGAACACCAGUGGCGAAGGCGCUCUGCUAGGCCGUAACUGACACUGAGGGACGAAAGCUAGGGGAGCGAAUGGG